GACUACUAGGGUAUCUAAGCCUGUUUGCUCCCCACGCUUUCGUGCCUGAGCGUCAGGACGGGCCCAGCAGACUGCCUUCGCCAUUGGCGUUCCUGUCGAUAUCUAAGCAUUUCACCGCUCCACCGACAGUUCCGUCUGCCCCUACCCGCCUCAAGACCUGUAGUUCGCCCUGCAAUUCCCCGGUUGAGCCGGGGGCUUUCACAAAACGCUUUCAGGUCCGCCUGCGCACCCUUUAAGCCCAGUGAUUCCGAUUAACGCUUGGGCCCCUCGUAUUACCGCGGCUGCUGGCACGAGGUUAGCCGGCCCUUCCUCUGGUCCCGGUCAUUGUUCCUAGGACCUGACAGUGGUUUACACGCCGAAGGCGCUUCAUCCCACACGCGGCAUUGCUCCGUCAGGCUUUCGCCCAUUGCGGAAUAUUCCUCACUGCAGCCCCCCGUAGG
rnacentral:rRNA from 1 species